rnacentral:tRNA from 1 species
UGCCUCAUAGGGUAAUUGGCAGCCCGCCGAAUUUUGGCUUCGGAGAUUCUAGGUUCGAGUCCUAGUGGGGCAGC